rnacentral:rRNA from 1 species
UACGUAGGGGGCAAGCGUUGUCCGGAAUCAUUGGGCGUAAAGCGCGUGUAGGCGGCCAGAAAAGUCCGCUGUGAAAACUCGAGGCUCAACUUCGAGCUGUCGGUGGAAACUUUCUGGCUAGAGUCCGGAAGAGGAGAAUGGAAUUCCUGGUGUAGCGGUGAAAUGCGCAGAUAUCAGGAAGAACACCCGUGGCGAAGGCGGCUUUCUGGGACGGUACUGACGCUGGAGACGCGAAAGCGUGGGGAGCGAACAGG